UUUCCGUAGGUGAACCUGCGGAAGGAUCAUUAUUGUAUAACCGAGGUGCGUGGGCUGUCGAUGACCCGAACGGUCGUGUACGCCCGGGUGCCCCCACACACAUCCAUCUUACCCCUAUGUGCACCACCGCGUGGGUCCCCCUUUGGCUUGAUCGGAGGGGUGCUUACGUUUUCGCACAAUCUUUGUAUACAUUGUAGAAUGUAUUUUUUGUUUUUGCGAUCACGCAAUCAAUACAACUUUCAACAACGGAUCUCUUGGCUCUC
rnacentral:misc_RNA from 1 species